rnacentral:lncRNA from 1 species
AAGGAUGAUAAGAUGAUCUGCAAAACAAAUGCAUUCAUGUAGACUCUGGAGCUCAAUGCAAGGAAUAUCACCCAAGCAAGUAUGACGGAGUUCUGCAGUUGCUUUCAGUAGAAGAGAAUCUGCGUAAAUUGAGUCAAAAGUUCAGGGAGAUCUUGCCAGAAGGAACUCUGCCAUAGAACAUCACCAACAUCAAUGGACCUCCACUUGUGCUUCCAGGUAGUUUGGAGUUUGCUGUUCUCAACUCCUAAAAGCCUUCCAGUUGCUACAUCUGCCUUUAUGAUGAGACUGGGUCUCUUCUUCUGAGAUUGCAGAAGCAGGUCCUCAUCAGCUCCUGGCCAAAGUAUGUCAUGUUACAUAGGUCACUCCAAAAGUAAUGCCUCCUAUUUACAUAUGGAAACCUAGUUUUUUUCUUUACCUUUGUAAUGGUCCAGCCCUACAGAUUAAAAAAAUU